AAUUCUCAACUACACCAAUUUUUUAAGUUGGUGUAGAUUGGAUUUGGGGGGAUUUUUUGCGGGCUUUUGUAAAAUGAAGUCGGCUCCCCUGAAAUUGAUUAGUGGUACCUUAGUAGAACCAUCUACAGGUGUGAUAAUUUAUCUACGCCUCAGAUGUCUGCAUGGAAAAGGUUAUGCUGCUUCCUAACCUCACCAAUGACAA
rnacentral:misc_RNA from 1 species